UUGUGCAUGGAUUUGCUACGGGAUCAUCCUAGAUGUUCUUGCACAUGUCCUAGCACCGAUUUGAUCCAAGAAAAGCACCCCAAAUCGCUACCAAUCACGAAAUCCAAAAAUUCACCCAAAAAUAUUCCAAAAAUAGGGAAAAAGAUAAAUUUCAGAUAUUGAGAAGGAGAAGCAAUUGAGUACGAAAUUGAUUCUUGGUUUACUUCACCAUGUCUGGUUAUAAGCUACUCCGAAGCACAAUCCAAGCUAGGAUGGCAAAAAGAUCAACACAAAGAUCCCUCCUCUCUCCCUCUCA
rnacentral:lncRNA from 1 species